UACGGAGGGUGCGAGCGUUAUUCGGAAUUACUGGGCGUAAAGCGCGUGCAGGCGGGCCUGCAAGUCUGAUGUGAAAGCCCUGGGCUUAACCCGGGAAGUGCAUUGGAAACUGCAGGUCUUGAGUGCUGGAGAGGAAGGGGGAAUUCCCGGUGUAGAGGUGAAAUUCGUAGAGAUCGGGAGGAAUACCAGUGGCGAAGGCGCCCUUCUGGACGGCAACUGACGCUGAGACGCGAAAGCGUGGGGAGCAAACAGG
rnacentral:rRNA from 1 species